UUUAUUGGAGAGUUUGAUCCUGGCUCAGGAUGAACGCUGGCGGCGUGCCUAAUACAUGCAAGUCGAGCGAAUGGAUUAAGAGCUUGCUCUUAUGAAGUUAGCGGCGGACGGGUGAGUAACACGUGGGUAACCUGCCCAUAAGACUGGGAUAACUCCGGGAAACCGGGGCUAAUACCGGAUAAUAUUUUGGACCUCAUGGUUCAAAAUUGAAAGGCGGCUUCGGCUGUCACUUAUGGAUGGACCCGCGUCGCAUUAGCUAGUUGGUGAGGUAACGGCUCACCAAGGCAACGAUGCGUAGCCGACCUGAGAGGGUGAUCGGCCACACUGGGACUGAGACACGGCCCAGACUCCUACGGGAGGCAGCAGUAGGGAAUCUUCCGCAAUGGACGAAAGUCUGACGGAGCAACGCCGCGUGAGUGAUGAAGGCUUUCGGGUCGUAAAACUCUGUUGUUAGGGAAGAACAAGUGCUAGUUGAAUAAGCUGGCACCUUGACGGUACCUAA
rnacentral:rRNA from 1 species